rnacentral:misc_RNA from 1 species
CAAAAGUGAAAAAUCAACUUCUUACGCCCAGUUCACGGAUUAUAUUAGUGCUGGAAUAUCUACUUCUAAUUUAGUGAACCGAGUCUCUUUCAAUGGUGGAGCUCAUCUAACACAAGGCAGCUUUGGAGCGGCUUGUCAUCCGGAAUAUUCUUCGAUAUGUACAAACACGGAUAUUGAAACAAAGCCACAGUCAACUAAAACCGGUAGUUCGUUUGGACUUCAAUACGAACAGAAGCAUACUCUCAACAGAAACGACUGCUACGCUCAAUACAGC